rnacentral:rRNA from 1 species
GGUCUUAGCAUAACCAAGACACAUAACUACACGAUGUCCGCCUGGAUACUACGAGCGCUAGCUUAAAACCCAAAGGACCUGACGGUGUAUUAGAUCCCCCUAGAGGAGCCUGUUCUAGAACCGAUUAUCCACGUUUAACCUCACCACUUCUAGUUUUAACCAGCCUAUAUACCGCCGUCGCCAGCUUACCCUGUGAAGGGAAAGAAGUAAGCAGGAUGGGCACAGCCCAAAACGUCAGGUCGAGGUGUAGCACAUGAAGUGGGAAGAAAUGGGCUACAUUUUCUACCCCAGAUUAUCACGAAGGAAUAAUGUGAAAUACAUACCAGAAGGAGGAUUUAGAAGUAAAAAGGAAGCAGAGUGUUCUUUUUGACCCCGGGUCUAAAACCCAACACCCCGCCCCGUCACCCUCAACACACCCGCCGGUACCUUAAAAA